UACGUAGGGGGCAAGCGUUGUCCGGAAUCAUUGGGCGUAAAGCGCGUGUAGGCGGCUGAGCAAGUCUGUUCUGAAAGCCCGAGGCUCAACCUCGGGAGGCGAAUGGAUACUGCUCAGCUCGAGUCCGGAAGAGGAGUGUGGAAUUCCUGGUGUAGCGGUGAAAUGCGCAGAUAUCGAGGAGACACCAUGCGAAGGCAGCACUCUGGGCGAACGUCGAC
rnacentral:rRNA from 1 species